CAUACUCCUCCUCAUCACCUGGUACCUAUGUGGGACCCCCUGGUGGUGGCGGCCCUCCAGGAACACCUAUUAUGCCCAGUCCCGCAGAUUCAACAAAUUCCAGUGACAACAUCUACACAAUGAUUAAUCCGGUGCCGCCUGGAGGCAGCCGGUCCAACUUCCCGAUGGGUCCCGGCUCGGACGGUCCGAUGGGCGGCAUGGGUGGCAUGGAGCCACACCACAUGAAUGGAUCAUUAGGGUCAGGGGACAUAGACGGACUUCCAAAAGUGAGUGUGCACUCGGUCUCCCUGGUGGUGCCCCAUCUGUGUGGGCAGGUUGUUGGGGACACAGGUGCUCACCUCCUCUCCUCUUUCCACAGAAUUCUCCUAACAACAUAAGUGGCAUUAGCAAUCCUCCAGGCACCCCUCGAGAUGACGGCGAGCUAGGAGGGAACUUCCUCCACUCCUUUCAGAACGACAAUGUAAGCCUCGCCCCCUGCCUGUUGCUCUCGUCCCCACGGCCUGGGGACUCUUACCUAACAAGCUGCGAGCUACGGAGCCGGGCUGCAGCCUGCCAGCUAAGCUGGUGGCUGUGUUAUGGUUUUUC
rnacentral:lncRNA from 1 species